GAGACGCUCCUCCUGCGUUUAGCAGCGGCGGUUUAUGGGCGCGUGGUGGUGCCGCCUCAAGGGCACGAGUGGGCUCGAGCAGAUGCGACGGGGGUUCACGGCGCGUGAUGGCGGCGUACGCGACAUCGGCGUGUAGGAAGGAUCAAGAGCAGAACGAUGGAACGAUCUCUUUUGAAAGAUGUAUCCCACAUGUCUUAAUUUGUGCGGCUGGCUAGGAUAUGGGAAUUCAGGAGCACUGAUGCUUGCGCAUUAUGUGAGCUUGAUUUUGUUGUGGUCAAUCCAUCAGGUAAACAAUGUAUUGCUGUCAUAUAAAUUGUCACUUUCAGUUUCACCACAUUACAGGACAAGUGAUAUAAAAAGAACCCUGCAAGUAGCUAGCCUAUUUCUCCGUUAUGAUCCUACAAGUGGCUAUCCUAUUUAUCCAUUACGAUCAGCUCAUAGUGCCACAAUCAGGUUCUAUCUAUUUUUCCCCGUAGGCAACAUGGUUUGCUGGCAAGAGGAAUUGGCUCUAAUAAUUGUUAGUUAUAUCUUUCACUCAUGCUGUUUUCCUUACUUCCCUAAUAUUCAGUUCGUGUAUCACCUUUCGGCUUCUUCAUUUCGAGUUGUUCAGCACACAUUUGUCUGGUUCAACUACAAACUACGUGUUUGAAUCAUUCUACAAAACCUGUGAAGAAAAUGCAUGGAAUUUUAGCUUCCAUAUGGCUUUUCUCUUCCUUUUGUUUGAUUAGUUCAACCUUUUGGUAUAGCUAUGAAUAUGAACAGAAAUGUCUAGCAUUUUGAUCCA